AGCAUAAACGAAUCUCAAAAGCACUGGAUUAAAUAAACCGCUCUACAAUUCUGUAUGAAGGUCUGAAAACACUAAGCUAAUCUGUCGUAUUAGAAAUCAGAACAGUGGCUUCUUUGCAUAGUACAGACUGAGAAGGGCACAGGGAACUUUCUGGAGUGAUGGAAAUGUUCUAUAUCUUGACUGAGGUGAUGGUUACAUGAGUACAUACAUUUGUCAAAACUCAGAAUUGUACUUUAAAAUUUGUACAUUUUACUGUAUGUAAAUUAAGCCUCAAAUUUAAAGUACCUUUAUUUAUUUAUUUGUUUGUUUGUUUAUUUAUUGCAGAAUCUUGCUGUGUUGCCCAGGCAGGAAUGCAGUGGUGCAAUCACGGCUCACUGCAGCCUCUACCUCCUAGGCUCAAGCAAUCCUCAGCCUCCUGAGAGUAGCUGGGACUACAGGUAUGUGUCACCACACCCAGCUAAUUUUUUCAUUUUGUUGUAGAGAUAAGGUCUUGCUUAAAAUACCUUUAUAAGCCAGGCACAAAAACACAUACUUUGCAUGUUCUCAUUUGUGGGAGCUAAAAAUUAAAACAAUUGAACAACUCAUGGAGCUAGAGAGUAGAACCAUGGUAUGAGAGGUUAGGAAGGAUAGUGGGGAGGGUAGUGGGGUUAAUGAGUAUAACAAUAUACUUGGAUAGAAUGGAUAAGAUCUAGCAUUUGAUAGUACAACAGGGUAACUACAGUCAACAAUAAUUUAUUGUACAUUUAAAAACAGCUAAAAGAGGCCGGGUGCAGUGGCUCACGCCUGUAAUCCUGGCACUUUGGGAGACUGAGGCGGGUGGAUCACCUGAGGUCAGGAGUUCGAGACCAGCCUGGCCAACAUGGUGAAACCCCAUCUCUACAAAAAAUACAAAAAUUAGGCCGGGCGCGAUGGCUCACGCCUGUAAUCCUAGCACUUUGGGAGGCUGAGAUGGGCGGAACAGGAGGUCAGGAGAUCGAGACUAUCCUGGCUAACAUGGUGAAACCCCGUCUCUACUAAAAAUACAAAAAAAAUUAUCUGGGUGUGGUGGCGUGCGCCUGUAGUCCCAGCUACUCAGGAGGCUGAGGCAGGAGAAUUGCUUGAACCUGGGAGGUGGAGGUUGCAGUGAGCCAAGGUCAUGCCACUGCACUCCAGCCUGGGCAACAGAGCGAGACUCCAUCUCAAAAAAAAAAAAAAAUACAAAAAUACAAAAAUUAGCCCGGUGUGGUGGCACAUGCCUAUAAUCCCAGCUACUUGGGAGGCUGAGGCAGGAGAAUUGCUUGAACCUGGGAGACAGAGGUUGCAGUGAGCCGAGAUUGUGCCACUGUACUUCAGCCUGGGCAACAUAGCGAAACUCCAUUUAAAAAAUAAAAAGCUAAAAGAGUAUAAUUGGAAUGUUUUUAACACAAAGAAAUGAUAAAUGCUCGAGGUGGUAGAUAACACACUUACCCUAAUGUCAUUUUUAUUUUUAUUUUUUUUUGAGACACAGUCUCGAUCUGUCACCAGGCUGGAGUGC
rnacentral:lncRNA from 1 species